UCCCUCUUAGCUCAGUUGGUAGAGCGCGUCACUAGUAUUUGACCCAAUACUCUCAUGUAAUGACGAGGUCAGUCGUUCAAAUCGGCUAGCGGGAA